rnacentral:rRNA from 1 species
UACGUAGGGGGCAAGCGUUGUCCGGAAUUAUUGGGCGUAAAGGGCGCGUAGGCGGGAUGGCAAGUCAGUCGUGAAAUCUCUCGGCUCAACCGAGAAACGUCGGCUGAUACUGCCGUUCUUGAGGGAUGCAGAGGAGACUGGAAUUCCCGGUGUAGCGGUGAAAUGUGUAGAGAUCGGGAGGAACACCGGUGGCGAAGGCGGGUCUCUGGGCAUUUCCUGACGCUGAGGCGCGAAAGCGUGGGGAGCAAACGGG